rnacentral:rRNA from 1 species
AACGAACGCUGGCGGCAGGCCUAACACAUGCAUGUCGAACGCUGUAGCAAUACAGAGUGGCGCACGGGUGAGUAACGCGUGGGAAUGUACCAUUUAGUGGGGGAUAACUUCGGGAAACUGAAGCUAAUACCGCAUACGACCUUCGGGGGAAAGAUUUACCGCUGAAGGAUCAGCCCGCGUGAGAUUAGAUAGUUGGUGGGGGAAUGGCCUACCAAGGCAACGAUCGCUAGCCGGUCAUAGAGGAUGAUCGGCCACACUGGAACUGAGACACGGUCCAGACUCCUACGGGAGGCAGCAGUGGGGAAUAUUGGACAAUGGGCGAAAGCCUGAUCCAGCCAUGCCGCGUGAGUGAUGAAGGCUUUAGGGUUGUAAAGCUCUUUCGCCGAUGAAGAUAAUGACGGUAGUCGGAGAAGAAGCCCCGGCUAACUUCGUGCCAGCAGCCGCCGUAA